AGGGACAUUGCGAAGCAAACUCACAGUUAUAUUUCUGAGUUGAACGGGAUCAAAGGGAUGAGACUUACUGCUCAGUCUACUGAAGGAGCGAUACAGGAAAGAAGAAGAUCAGAAGUCACAAUCUCUUUCGACGCGGCCUUUGACCAACAAGUCUUCAGACAUUGUUAGUACACGACGCAGAAGGAAAAAUUUUAGCAUCCAAAACGACCAUCCACUCCGAAAUCGCAAAUCCAUUUGUGGCAGAGGCUCAUGUAGGGUUACAAGCAGUCAAGUUAGGGAUAUUCUUGGGGCUUAAUAAACUAGAAAUUUUGGGAGAUUCAAAGACCGUAAUUAAAAAAUGCCAGAGCAUAAAUACAGACAAAUCGAACAUCGGUGCGAUUAUCAGAGAUAUUCAACAUAAGAAAGACAGUUUUCAAGAGAUAAAGUUUCACUUCAUACCCAGAACAGAAAAUUUUCAUGCUCAUACUCUAGCGAAAAAGGCGUUAAAGAGAGGAGAUGACCAUUACCUGGUAGGAGAACUUCCAGAAUUUGCUCGCCAAACUUUGGAGGAAUGGAGGCCUAGAGAACCGAAUUGAGAGAAAAUGAAGAUUAAUGAUUGUUUGAAAGAGGUAGUAGGAAAAAUUAAUUGAUUCCCUUGGAAACUGCUACCGUCAUAAUGUUGG
rnacentral:lncRNA from 1 species